UUUUUUUUUUUUACACGAAUUUGAGGAAAACCAAAUGAAUUUGAUAGCCAAAUUGAGACAAUUUCAGCAAAUCUGUAAGCAGUUUGUAUGUUUAGUUGGGGUAAUGAAGUAUUUCAGUUUUGUGAAUAGAUGACCUGUUUUUACUUCCUCACCCUGAAUUCGUUUUGUAAAUGUAGAGUUUGGAUGUGUAACUGAGGCGGGGGGGAGUUUUCAGUAUUUUUUUUUGUGGGGGUGGGGGCAAAAUAUGUUUUCAGUUCUUUUUCCCUUAGGUCUGUCUAGAAUCCUAAAGGCAAAUGACUCAAGGUGUAACAGAAAACAAGAAAAUCCAAUAUCAGGAUAAUCAGACCACCACAGGUUUACAGUUUAUAGAAACUAGAGCAGUUCUCACGUUGAGGUCUGUGGAAGAGAUGUCCAUUGGAGAAAUGGCUGGUAGUUACUCUUUUUUCCCCCCACCCCCUUAAUCAGACUUUAAAAGUGCUUAACCCCUUAAACUUGUUAUUUUUUACUUGAAGCAUUUUGGGAUGGUCUUAACAGGGAAGAGAGAGGGUGGGGGAGAAAAUGUUUUUUUCUAAGAUUUUCCACAGAUGCUAUAGUACUAUUGACAAACUGGGUUAGAGAAGGAGUGUACCGCUGUGCUGUUGGCACGAACACCUUCAGGGACUGGAGCUGCUUUUAUCCUUGGAAGAGUAUUCCCAGUUGAAGCUGAAAAGUACAGCACAGUGCAGCUUUGGUUCAUAUUCAGUCAUCUCAGGAGAACUUCAGAAGAGCUUGAGUAGGCCAAAUGUUGAAGUUAAGUUUUCCAAUAAUGUGACUUCUUAAAAGUUUUAUUAAAGGGGAGGGGCAAAUAUUGGCAAUUAGUUGGCAGUGGCCUGUUACGGUUGGGAUUGGUGGGGUGGGUUUAGGUAAUUGUUUAGUUUAUGAUUGCAGAUAAACUCAUGCCAGAGAACUUAAAGUCUUAGAAUGGAAAAAGUAAAGAAAUAUCAACUUCCAAGUUGGCAAGUAACUCCCAAUGAUUUAGUUUUUUUCCCCCCAGUUUGAAUUGGGAAGCUGGGGGAAGUUAAAUAUGAGCCACUGGGUGUACCAGUGCAUUAAUUUGGGCAAGGAAAGUGUCAUAAUUUGAUACUGUAUCUGUUUUCCUUCAAAGUAUAGAGCUUUUGGGGAAGGAAAGUAUUGAACUGGGGGUUGGUCUGGCCUACUGGGCUGACAUUAACUACAAUUAUGGGAAAUGCAAAAGUUGUUUGGAUAUGGUAGUGUGUGGUUCUCUUUUGGAAUUUUUUUCAGGUGAUUUAAUAAUAAUUUAAAACUACUAUAGAAACUGCAGAGCAAAGGAAGUGGCUUAAUGAUCCUGAAGGGAUUUCUUCUGAUGGUAGCUUUUGUAUUAUCAAACUUUUUUCAGAUAACAUCUUCUGAGUCAUAACCAGCCUGGCAGUAUGAUGGCCUAGAUGCAGAGAAAACAGCUCCUUGACAGGUAUCUCUUCGUUAUCAGAAGAGUUGCUUCAUUUCAUCUGGGAGCAGAAAACAGCAGGCAGCUGUUAACAGAUAAGUUUAACUUGCAUCUGCAGUAUUGCAUGUUAGGGAUAAGUGCUUAUUUUUAAGAGCUGUGGAGUUCUUAAAUAUCAACCAUGGCACUUUCUCCUGACCCCUUCCCUAGGGGAUUUCAGGAUUGAGAAAUUUUUCCAUCGAGCCUUUUUAAAAUUGUAGGACUUGUUCCUGUGGGCUUCAGUGAUGGGAUAGUACACUUCACUCAGAGGCAUUUGCAUCUUUAAAUAAUUUCUUAAAAGCCUCUAAAGUGAUCAGUGCCUUGAUGCCAACUAAGGAAAUUUGUUUAGCAUUGAAUCUCUGAAGGCUCUAUGAAAGGAAUAGCAUGAUGUGCUGUUAGAAUCAGAUGUUACUGCUAAAAUUUACAUGUUGUGAUGUAAAUUGUGUAGAAAACCAUUAAAUCAUUCAAAAUAAUAAACUAUUUUUAUUAGAGAAUGUAUACUUUUAGAAAGCUGUCUCCUUAUUUAAAUAAAAUAGUGUUUGUCUGUAGUUCAGUGUUGGGGCAAUCUUGGGGGGGAUUCUUCUCUAAUCUUUCAGAAACUUUGUCUGCGAACACUCUUUAAUGGACCAGAUCAGGAUUUGAGCGGAAGAACGAAUGUAACUUUAAGAGGCAUUUCAUCCUUCAUGAAGCCAUUCAGGAUUUUGAAUUGCAUAUGAGUGCUUGGCUCUUCCUUCUGUUCUAACUUCACAGAGAAUGCAGUUGUCUUGACUUCAGGUCUGUCUGUUCUGUUGGCAAGUAAAUGCAGUACUGUUCUGAUCCCGCUGCUAUUAGAAUGCAUUGUGAAACGACUGGAGUAUGAUUAAAAGUUGUGUUCCCCAAUGCUUGGAGUAGUGAUUGUUGAAGGAAAAAAUCCAGCUGAGUGAUAAAGGCUGAGUGUUGAGGAAAUUUCUGCAGUUUUAAGCAGUCGUAUUUGUGAUUGAAGCUGAGUACAUUUUGCUGGUGUAUUUUUAGGUAAAAUGCUUUUUGUUCAUUUCUGGUGGUGGGAGGGGACUGAAGCCUUUAGUCUUUUCCAGAUGCAACCUUAAAAUCAGUGACAAGAAACAUUCCAAACAAGCAACAGUCUUCAAGAAAUUAAACUGGCAAGUGGAAAUGUUUAAACAGUUCAGUGAUCUUUAGUGCAUUGUUUAUGUGUGGGUUUCUCUCUCCCCUCCCUUGGUCUUAAUUCUUACAUGCAGGAACACUCAGCAGACACACGUAUGCGAAGGGCCAGAGAAGCCAGACCCAGUAAGAAAAAAUAGCCUAUUUACUUUAAAUAAACCAAACAUUCCAUUUUAAAUGUGGGGAUUGGGAACCACUAGUUCUUUCAGAUGGUAUUCUUCAGACUAUAGAAGGAGCUUCCAGUUGAAUUCACCAGUGGACAAAAUGAGGAAAA
rnacentral:lncRNA from 1 species